CCAACAGGGAUUGCCCUAGUAACGGCGAGUGAAGCGGCAACAGCUCAAAUUUGAAAUCUGGCUCUUUUAGAGUCCGAGUUGUAAUUUGCAGAGGGCGCUUUGGCUUUGGCAGCGGUCCAAGUUCCUUGGAACAGGACGUCACAGAGGGUGAGAAUCCCGUACGUGGUCGCUGGCUAUUGCCGUGUAAAGCCCCUUCGACGAGUCGAGUUGUUUGGGAAUGCAGCUCUAAAUGGGAGGUACAUUUCUUCUAAAGCUAAAUAUUGGCCAGAGACCGAUAGCGCACAAGUAGAGUGAUCGAAAGAUGAAAAGCACUUUGGAAAGAGAGUCAAACAGCACGUGAAAUUGUUGAAAGGGAAGCGCUUGCAGCCAGACUUGCUUACAGUUGCUCAUCCGGGUUUUUACCCGGUGCACUCUUCUGUAGGCAGGCCAGCAUCAGUUUGGGCGGUAGGAUAAAGGUCUCUGUCACGUACCUCCUUUCGGGGAGGCCUUAUAGGGGAGACGACAUACUACCAGCCUGGACUGAGGUCCGCGCAUCUGCUAGGAUGCUGGCGUAAUGGCUGUAAGCGGCCCGUCUUGAAACACGGACCAAGGAGUCUAACAUCUAUGCGAGUGUUUGGGUGUCAAGCCCGAGCGCGUAAUGAAAGUGAACGGAGGUGGGAACCCGCAAGGGUGCACCAUCGACCGAUCCUGAUGUCUUCGGAAGGAUUUGAGUAAGAGCAUGGCUGUUGGGACCCGAAAGAUGGUGAACUAUGCUUGAAUAGGGUGAAGCCAGAGGAAACUCUGGUGGAGGCUCGCAGCGGUUCUGACGUGCAAAUCGAUCGUCAAAUUUGGGCAUAGGGGCGAAAGACUAAU
rnacentral:rRNA from 1 species